rnacentral:rRNA from 1 species
AUGGUGGUACCCAAGUCUAUGGGGGGCAUGGGAUUCCGUGAUAUGAGAGCCUUCAACCAGGCUUUGUUGUCCAAGCAAGCUUGGCGAUUAUUGGACUGUCCAAAUAGCCUGUGUGUGAGACUUCUUAGAGCCAAAUAUUAUCCCCAUGGUAAUCUGCUGGAUACAGUGUUCCUUAUGAGCUCAUCCGCAGCAUGGAAGGGGAUUGUACAUGGUCUGGAAUUGGUGAAGAAAUGCAUUAUUUGGCGGGUGGGAGACGGGACGCUAAUUAGAACUUGGAGAGAUGCUUGGAUCCCGAGGGGUCAUAAUCUUCGGCCAAUAACACCAAAAUGUAAUUGCAGACUUAAUUGGGUGGCUGAUUUCUUGGAUGUACAUGGUGCUUGGAAUGAGCAAAGGUUGCGAGAACACUUCUGGGACAUGGAUGUACGUGAGAUUCUUAAGAUUCGUACCUCAUCGAGGAAUGGCCAAGACUUCAUAGCCUGGUUCCCGAAGAGAAGCGGAAAAUUCACUGUGAGUGCUUAUAGGUUGGCUACGUUGGGGACCGCCCCUGACAUGUUAACCGCGUCCAGCAACAAUCCAUCGGGGGAGUGGCCGGUUUGGCAAUGCAUAUGGGGCGCUAAGGUACCACUCAAGAUGAUGAUCUUGUCCUGGAAAGUGGUCUCUCAGGUGCACUAG